rnacentral:rRNA from 1 species
UACGUAGGGGGCAAGCGUUGUCCGGAAUUACUGGGCGUAAAGCGUGCGUAGGUGGUUCGUUAAGUCUGAUGUGAAAGCCCUGGGCUCAACCUGGGAAUGGCAUUGGAAACUGGCGACCUAGAGUGCGGUAGAGGGUAGUGGAAUUCCCGGUGUAGCAGUGAAAUGCGUAGAGAUCGGGAGGAACAUCCGUGGCGAAGGCGACUACCUGGACCAGCACUGACACUGAGGCACGAAAGCGUGGGAGCAAACAGG